UACGGGGGGGGCAAGCGUUGUUCGGAAUUACUGGGCGUAAAGGGCUCGUAGGCGGCCAACUAAGUCAGACGUGAAAUCCCUCGGCUUAACCGGGGAACUGCGUCUGAUACUGGGUGGCUUGAAUCCGGGAGAGGGAUGCGGAAUUCCAGGUGUAGCGGUGAAAUGCGUAGAUAUCUGGAGGAACACCGGUGGCGAAGGCGGCAUCCUGGACCGGCAUUGACGCUGAGGCGCGAAAGCCAGGGGAGCAAACGGG
rnacentral:rRNA from 1 species